UACGUAGGGUGCAAGCGUUGCCCGGAUUUAUUGGGCGUAAAGGGCGCGUAGGCGGCUCUGCACGUUCGUUGUGAAAUCGCCCGGCUCAACUGGGCGGGGUCAGCGGAUACGGCAGAGCUUGAGCAAGCUAGGGGGCAAUGGAAUUCCUGGUGUAGCGGUGAAAUGCGCAGAUAUCAGGAGGAACACCGGUGGCGAAGGCGGGUCUCUGGGCCGAUAUUGACGCUGAGGAGCGAAAGCGUGGGGAGCAAACAGG
rnacentral:rRNA from 1 species